rnacentral:rRNA from 1 species
AUGUCUAAACGACUCUCAGCAAUGGAUAUCUCGGCUCUUGCAUCGACGAAGAACGUAGCGAAAUGCGAUACUUGGUGUGAAUUACAGAAUCUCGUGAGCCAUUGAGUUUUUGAACGCAAGUUGCGCACGAAGCCACUAGGCCAAGGGCACGCCUGCCUGGACGUCACGCAUCGUGUCGCCCCCUCUCCACGCCCAAAUGCGCGGUGGGGAUGGAGAGUGGUCCCCCCAUGUGCGGCGCCAUGCGGUUGGCCUAAAUGUGAUCCCCGGCGAUGCACGUCACGAAAAUUGGUGGUUAAAUCCUCAACGUGCACUAUCGUGCACCACCGCAUCGGGACGCAUGAUCAGACCCAACAGCACAUGUGAGCAUGUCGCCUUCAACUGCGAUCCCAAGUCAGGCGGGAUCACCCACUGAGUUUAAGCAUAUCAAUAAGCGGAGGAAAAGAAACUUACAAGAAUUCCCCUAGUAAUGACAAGCGAACCGGGAAUAGCCCAACUUGAGAAUCAGGCAGCCACACCAUUCAAAUUAUAGUCUGGAGAAGCAUCCUCAGUGGUAGACCGGGGUCGAGUCUCCUGGAACGGGGCGCCAGAGAGAGUGAGAGCUUCAUUGCUCUAGGACCCUAUUACACCAUGAGGCACUAUCAGCGAGUCGGGUUAUUUGGGAAUGCAGCCCCAAUCGAGCUGUAAAUUCCGUCCAAGGCUAAAUACGUGCGAGAGACCGAUAGCAAACAAGUACCGCGGGGGAAAGAUGAAAAGGACUUUGAAAAGAGAGUCAAAGAGUACAUGAAAUUAUCGAGAGGGAAGCGGAUGGGGACCAAUGAUGCUUCUCGGUCAAAUGUGGAAUGUCGAGAGCCGGUCGGCCAAUCAAUUAGGGGCGCAAACCAGUACGGAUCGAUGCGGCGCUCAAAGAUCGGGCAGUCGAUAUGCUCAUUAUAUGACAUCGCGCUGAUCCAGGCGGAUAGUGCACUCCUCGUGCAUGCUUCGGCAAUUGCACGCUCCCGAUGCUGGCCUGCAGGCUCCCCAUUCGACCUGUCUUAAAACACGGACGAAGGAGUCUUACAUGUGCACGAGUCAACGGGCGAUUAAACCCAUAAGGUGUAAGGAAGUUGACCGAUGCGAUCCCUCCUGAGGGGUGCACCGCCUACCGAACUUGAUCUUCUAAGAAGGGAUCGAGUGAGCAUACCUGUUGGGACUCGAAAGAUGGUGAACUAUGCCUGAUUAUGGGGAAGCCAGAGAAAACUUUGGUGGAGGCCCGCAGUCAUACUGACGUACAAAUCAUUCUUCUAACUUGGGUAUAGAGGCGAAAGACUAAUCGAACCGUCUAGUAGCUGGUUCCCUCUGAAAUUUCCCUCAGGUUAGCUGGAGCUCUAGUAUGAGUUCUAUUGGGUAAAGCCAAUGAUUAGAGGCAUAGGGGGAGUAACGCCCUCGACCUAUUCUCCAUUGAGCCACGCCAGAGAAUCGUGAGCUCCAAGUGGGCCAAUUUUAGUAAGCAGAACUGCCAAUGCGGGAUGAACUGGAAGCCGGAUUAUGGUGCCCAACUGUGCGCUAAUUUAGACCCAAUUAAGGGUGUUGGUCAAUUAAGACAGUAGGACGGUGGUCAUGGAAGUCGAAAUCCACUAAUGAGUGUGUAACAACUCACCUGCCGAAUCAACUAGCCCCGAAAAUGGAUGGCACUGAUGCGCGCGACCUAUACCCGACCGUCGGGGUAAGGGCCAGGCCCCAAUGAGUAGGAGUGCGCGGCGAUCACUGCAAAACCCUGGCCGUGAGCCCAGGCGGAUUGGCCGUCGGUGCGGAUCUUGGUUGCAGUAGCAAAUAUUCAAAUGAGAACUUUGAAGGACGAAGAGGGGAAAGGUUCCAUGUGAACGGUACUUGCUCAUGGGUUAGUUGAUCCUAAGGGUCGAGAGAAGCUUGACAGACAGCGCGUUCAGCACAUGCUCCAAAAGGGAAUCAGAUUAAAAUUCUUGAACCGGGAUGCGGUGGUUGACGGCAACGUUAGGGAGUCCAGAGACGUUGGUGGGGGCCUUGAAUAGAGUCAUCUUUUCUGUUUAACAUCCCUCCCACCCUGGAAACAGCUCAGCCAGAGGUAAGGUCCAGCGGCUGGAAGAGCACCGCACGUCACGUGGUGUUCGGUGUGCCACCGGCGGCCCUUGAAUAUCUGGAGGACCGAGUACCAUCCACGCCCAGUCGUACUCAUAACCGCAUUAGGUUUCCAAGGUGAACAGCCUCUGGUUGAUGGAACAAUGUAGGCAAGGAAAGUCGGUAAAAUGGAUCCGUAACAAAGCAUUGCGAUGGUCCCUGCGGAUGCUCACGCAAUGUGAUUUCUGCCCAGUGCUCUGAAUGUCAAAGUGAAGAAAUUCAACCAAGCGCGGGUAGACAGCAGGAGUAACUAUGACUCUCUUAAGGUAGCCAAAUGCCUCAUCAUCUAAUUAGUGACGCGCAUGAAUGGAUUAACGAUAUUCUCACUAUCCUUGUCUACUAUCCAGCGAAACCACAGUCGUAGGAACGGGCUUGGCGGAAUCAGCGGGGAAAGAAGACCCUGUUGCGCUUGACUCUAGUCCGACUUUGUGAAAUGACUUGAAAGGUGUAGGAUAAGUGGGAGCCGAAAGGCAAAAGUAAAAUACCACUACUUUUAACAUUAUUUUACUUAUUUCGUAAAUCGGAGGUGGGGCAUCGCCCCUCUUUUUGGAGCCAAGGCUCGCGCCGGCGGGCCAAUCCGUGUGGAAGACAUUGUCAGGUGGGGAGUUUGACUAGGGCGGCACAUCUGUUAAAAGAUAAUGCAGUUGUCCUAAGAUGAGCUCAACGAGAACAAAAAUCUCGUGUGGAACAGAUGGGUAAAAGCUCGUUUAAUUCUGAUUUCCAGUACGAAUACAAACAGUGAAAGCAUGGCCUAACGAUCCUUUAGACCUUCGAAAUUUAAAGCUAGAGGUGUCAGAAAAGUUACCAUAGGGAUACUGGCUUGUGGUAGCCAAGCGUUCAUAGCGAUGUUGCUUUUUGAUCCUUCGGUGUCGGCUCUUCCUAUCAUUGUGAACCAGAAUUCACCAAGGGUUGGAUUGUUCACCCACCAAUAGGGAACGUGAGCUGGGUUUAGACAGUCAUGAGACAGGUUAGUUUUACCCUACUGAUGACGGUGUCCAAUAGUAAUUUAACCUAGUACGAGAAGAACCGUUGAUUCGCAAAAUGGGUCAUUGUGAUUUUUUCAAAAGCGAGUCGCGCGAAGCUACCGUGCGCUGAAUUAUGACUGAACGCCUCUAAGUCAGAAUCCGAGCUAGACGCGAUUCAUGCACCCGCCGUCUGCUCCCCGACCCGUAAUAGGGGCCCUCGGGCCCCCAAGGGCAUGUGUCGUUGGCCAAAUGGCAGAGUGGCCUUGUUGCCACGAUCCGCUAAGAUUCAGUCCUUCGUUGCUUCGAUUCAUCCCCCACCGAUCCCCCUACAUAAAACCC